rnacentral:rRNA from 1 species
UUGAACGCUGGCGGCAGGCCUAACACAUGCAAGUCGCACGGUAACAGGAAGAAGCUUGCUUCUUUGCUGACGAGUGGCGGACGGGUGAGUAAUGUCUGGGAAACUGCCUGAUGGAGGGGGAUAACUACUGGAAACGGUAGCUAAUACCGCAUAAUGUCGCAAGACCAAAGAGGGGGACCUUCGGGCCUCUUGCCAUCGGAUGUGCCCAGAUGGAAUUAGCUAGUAGGUGGGGUAACGGCUCACCUAGGCGACGAUCCCUAGCUGGUCUGAGAGGAUGACCAGCCACACUGGAACUGAGACACGGUCCAGACUCCUACGGGAGGCAGCAGUGGGGAAUAUUGCACAAUGGGCGCAAGCCUGAUGCAGCUAUGCCGCGUGUAUGAAGAAGGCCUUCGGGUUGUAAAGUACUUUCAGCGGGGAGGAAGGGAGUAAAGUUAAUACCUUUGCUCAUUGACGUUACCCGCAGAAGAAGCACCGGCUAACUCCGUG